AGGGCGCAGGGCGAAUGCCUUGGCACUAGGAGCCGAAGAAGGACGUGAUAAGCUGCGAAAAGUCUCGGGGAGGAGCAAAUAUCUUGUGAUCCGGGAAUGUCCGAAUGGGGAAACCUACUUGAGCAAACCUCAAGUAUCCUAUUGUGAAUACAUAGCAAUAGGAGGGGAGAGCACGUGAACUGAAACAUCUAAGUAGCGUGACGAAAAGAAAGAGAAUUCGAUUUUCUAAGUAGCGGCGAGCGAACGGGAAAGAGCCCAACUGAAGUUAAUAUAAUGAGUAUGUAGUAGAAUGGUCUGGGAAGGCCAACCGAAGAGAGUGAGAGUCUCGUAAACGAAACGUAUGAGUUGUAGACUUCGAAAGAGUAGCAUGGGACACGAGAAAUCCUGUGUGAAUAUGGGGGGACCACCCCCUAAGGCUAAAUACUACCUAGUGACCGAUAGAGAAUAGUACCGUGAGGGAAAGGUGAAAAGAACCCCGGGAGGGGAGUGAAAUAGAACCUGAAACCCUGCGCCUACAAGCAGAUAGAGCUAUCUUGAAUAGUGAUAUCGUACUUUUUGUAGAACGGGCCAGCGAGUUAUGAUGUGCGGCAAGGUUAAGUUGUGAAGCAACGGAGCCGUAGGGAAACCGAGUCUGAAUAGGGCGAGAGUCGUAUGUCAUAGACCCGAAACCAGGUGAUCUAUCCAUGAGCAGGUUGAAGUGAAAGUAAAAUUUCAUGGAGGACCGAACCGGGUAACGUUUAAAAGUUAUCGGAUGACUUGUGGAUAGGGGUGAAAAGCCAAUCGAACUUGGAGAUAGCUGGUUCUCCUCGAAAUAGCUUUAGGGCUAGCCUCAAUUUAGUUUACAGGGGGUAGAGCACUGAAUUCUGUAGGGGCAUUAUAUGUUACCGAAAGAUAUCAAACUCCGAAUACCUGAUAAAUGAUGAUUGGGAGUCAGACUAUGUGGGAUAAGCUUCAUAGUCAAAAGGGAAAGAGCCCAGACCACCAGCUAAGGUCCCUAAAUAUAGAUUAAGUGGGAAAGGAUGUUUUACUACUUAGACAACCAGGAUGUUGGCUUAGAAGCAGCCAUACAUUUAAAGAGUGCGUAAUAGCUCACUGGUCAAGUGGUAGAGCGCCGAAAAUGAACGGGGCUAAAAUCUAAUACCGAAGCUGUGGACUAAUAUAAUUAGUGGUAGAGGAGCAUUGUGUAAGGGGCGAAGCUAAGCUGGAAGGCGAAGUGGACUUUACAGAAGAGAGAAUGCUGGCAUGAGUAGCGAAAAGGAGGGUGAGAAUCCCUCCCGUCGAAAGCCUAAGGAUUCCUGAGGAAGGCUCGUCCUCUCAGGGUAAGUCGGGACCUAAGCCCAGGCUGAAAAGCGUAAGCGAUGGACAACAGGUUGAUAUUCCUGUACUAUCUUAGAAUGUUUGAGAGAUGUACUGACACAGGAGGAUAUGUUGAGCGUGUGAAUGGUAGAGCACGUCCAAGCAAGUAGUUUGAGUUUCGAGGCAAAUCCCGAAACUUAAUAAGAACGAGAUGUGAUGGGGAGCGAAAAAUAAGUAGUGAAGCAACAGAUUCCACACUGUCAAGAAAAGGUACUAUUGAGUGAUAAGAUACCCGUACCAAAACCGACACAGGUAGGCGAGGAGAGAAUCCUAAGACGCGCGGAAGAACCUUUGUUAAGGAACUCGGCAAAAUGACCCCGUAACUUCGGGAGAAGGGGUGCCAUUGGUUGUGAAAUCUGAACGGAUGGAGCAAUUGAUGGCCGCAGAGAAUAGGCCCAAGCGACUGUUUACCAAAAACACAAGUUUCUGCUAAAUCGAAAGAUGAAGUAUAGGAGCUAAGGUAGCGAAAUUCCUUGUCGGGUAAGUUCCGACCCGCACGAAAGGUGUAACGAUUUGGGCACUGUCUCAACAAAGGAUCCGGUGAAAUUGUAGUAGUCGUGAAGAUGCGACUUACCCACGAUAGGACGGAAAGACCCCGUGGAGCUUUACUGUAGGCUGGCAUUGGAAUUUGGUAUUAAAUGUACAGGAUAGUUGGGAGACGAAGAAACAAGGGCGCCAGUUUUUGUGGAGUCAACGUUGGGAUACCAAUCUUUUAAUACUAAAUUUCUAACUUGAUACUCUGAAUCGAGUAUAAGGACACUGUCAGUUGGGCAGUUUGACUGGGGCGGUCGCCUCCUAAAGAGUAACGGAGGCGUUCAAAGGUUCCCUCAGAAUGGUUGGAAAUCAUUCACAGAGUGCAAAGGCAAAAGGGAGCUUAACUGCGACACCAACAAGUGGAGCAGAUAGGAAACUAGGACUUAGUGAUCCGGUGGUACCGCGUGGAAGGGCCAUCGCUCAACGGAUAAAAGCUACCCCGGGGAUAACAGGCUUAUCUCCCCCAAGAGUUCACAUCGACGGGGAGGUUUGGCACCUCGAU
rnacentral:rRNA from 1 species